GCCCUCAUAGUUCAACGGAUAGAACAGCUCCCUUCUAAGGAGCAAAUCUAGGUUCGAUUCCUGGUGAGGGCG
rfam:Candidatus Tagabacteria bacterium RIFCSPLOWO2_01_FTLL_42_9 rifcsplowo2_01_scaffold_51386, whole genome shotgun sequence.